UUCGUUUUGGGCGUCGAAGUUAGCGAAGUAAACUUGAUUUCUUGCCCGAAUUUUAAAGCAAAAUUAAAGAAGAAAUACUGAAUUUUCAAUCCCAAGAGAAACUCAAAUGUAUGUACUAUCGACUUCAUGUAAAAUGUUCACAUUUUAACGACGAAAAGCGUUUAAAACUUGUUGUCAAAGUUGGCAUACAAUUGCAAACCGCUUCGAGCCUUGUUGUCUGACUCAGUGACUCGCCUGGCAUAUUCUUGAAUUUAGCCUUGCUUUUCGACGUUUUUUGCUCUUUUUAGUUUCUCAAACUGUAUUGAAGCGUUUUACUAAGGUAUUCCAGGUGUUUUAAAGCUAAAUUUGUAUUAAAAUUUAUCGUUUUAGUGAGAACAAGAUUAAAUUCUCAACCGCGUGCAAAUGGCCCAAGUCAUCAUGGCUGAAUUUUACAAGCAAAAUUAAACGCGAAAUGUUGAAGUCCCAAGAUCAAAAGAAGCUUAAAGAUUGAACUAAGGUUUGUAUAUUCUAUAAUUCCUACUUUGUGUAAUAUGUUCGUGCUUUGUUGGCGAGUAAAAAAGUGUUGAAAGUUGAAACUACUUGACGAAGUUCAUGGUCGCAAGUCGCUGAGUGCAUGGCCUUGAUUUUGAUAUUCGUUAAUUCGUCAAUGCGUGUCCUUUGGACGUGAUGAUUUUCUUAUUAAUUUAAAUCAAUAGAAGUCUUUCAAUAAAGUAUUCAGAGUGUUUAGAGCUAAAGUUAUUUUAACAUUUAUCUUUUUAGUAGAAACAACAAAUGAAUUCUCACUGAAGCCAAAGGGCAAAGGCCGAAAGUUUGUGCAUCGUGUAUGUGGAACGCAAUGCAUCCGUGAUUGCUUAGUUGGCUUGGUAGAAAGAUCGCUUUGCUCUGUUUGUCAAAGGAGAGUCGUAUAUGAUUCAACAAUGCAGAGAUCAAUGCUUCAGACGUUGGGCUAUGAGAGAACAACGAAUAUCAAAG